GCCGUCGUUGGUGAUUAGCGGCGGCACCACGCUGUCGGUAAUUAUUUUUUUAAUUUUUAUUUAUUUAUUUUAUCUAUUUAUUUAUACCCUACAAUUAUUUUUGUAUUUAUACAAUAUUGUAUACGUUAGACCGUGUAGUAACUGUUCUAGUGUGGUUAUUGUUUUGGUUUUUGUGGUGAACUCAUGGCGACGGCGUAUAACCGGCCGUGGGUUUCUUAUGGAGCGCUUGCGGUGACGGCAUAUAACCGGCCGUGUAGCUUUCCUUGUUUUGUUUGCGCUUACGGCGACGGCAUCUCACCGGCCGUGUAGCUUUUCGUGUGGUUUUGGUGUUGGGUUUUAUGGAGAACUCAUGGCGACGGCAUAUAAUCGGCCGUGUAGUUUUCAUUUUCUUUUGUUUUUGUUUGAGCUUACGGCGACGGCGUCUAACCGGCCGUGUUGCUUGCUUUGUUGGGGUAGAGCCGGGAUUGUUUGGGGACGAUGGUUAGGCCGGAGUUCUGAAAACUUUCCAUCCCGCUCUUUCCCCCUUUUAUCUUCCUUCGUUUUAGACGAGUACUCUUUUUUCUUUUCACGGUUUUUCCCCUGGGUUUUCCGUGAAAAGGUUUUAACGAGGCUCGGCCCUUAGUCUGCUUCUCCUGUGCUUUCAAGGGUUUUUAGGUUUUCUUUUCUUUUCUAAUAAAAUCACAUUUAAUAAUAAUAAGUAUACGUUAGACGAACUUUCCAGUCGGUCACCCAUCUUAUUUGUGCUCUAAGUCAAGCACGCUUAAUCUUGAAGUUUCUUUCAAGUAGUCACCAAUACAGAACACUCAUAUUAUUGAUAUAUGUAGUACUUAUU
rnacentral:lncRNA from 1 species